CCUACGGGUGGCAGCAGUGGGGAAUAUUGCACAAUGGGGGGAACCCUGAUGCAGCGACGCCGCGUGAGUGAAGAAGUAUUUCGGUAUGUAAAGCUCUAUCAGCAGGGAAGAAGAUGACGGUACCUGACUAAGAAGCCCCGGCUAACUACGUGCCAGCAGCCGCGGUAUAACGUAGGGGGCAAGCGUUAUCCGGAUUUACUGGGUGUAAAGGGAGCGUAGACGGGAGGGCAAGUCUGGAGUGAAAGCCCGGGACCCAACCCCGGGACUGCUUUGGAAACUGCCAUGCUAGAGUGCUGGAGAGGUAAGCGGAAUUCCUAGUGUAGCGGUGAAAUGCGUAGAUAGUAGGAGGAACACCAGUGGCGAAGGCGGCUUACUGGACAGUAACUGACGUUGAGGCUCGAAAGCGUGGGGAGCAAACAGGAUUAGAUACCCCAGUAGUC
rnacentral:rRNA from 1 species